rnacentral:rRNA from 1 species
GAGCAGGGACGAAAGUCGGGCUUAGUGAUCCGGCGGUACCGAAUGGAAGGGCCGUCGCUCAACGGAUAAAAGCUACCCCGGGGAUAACAGGCUUAUCUCCCCCAAGAGUCCACAUCGACGGGGAGGUUUGGCACCUCGAUGUCGNNCGUCGUGAGACAGUUCGGUCCCUAUCCGUCGUGGGCGUUGGAAGUUUGAGAGGAGCUGUCCUUAGUACGAGAGGACCGGGAUGGACACACCGCUGGUGCACCAGUUGUUCCGCCAGGAGCAUCGCUGGGUAGCUACGUGUGGAAGGGAUAAGUGCUGAAAGCAUCUAAGCAUGAAGCCCCCCUCAAGAUGAGACUUCCCAUCUAUUCGAUAGAGUAAGAUCCCUCAGAGACGAUGAGGUAGAUAGGUUCGAGGUGGAAGCAUGGUGACAUGUGCAGCUGACGAAUACUAAUCGAUCGAGGACUUAACUAUACA